rnacentral:rRNA from 1 species
UACGUAGGGGGCGAGCGUUGUCCGGAUUUAUUGGGCGUAAAGGGUACGCCGGCGGCCAUGUAAGUCAGGUGUGAAAUUCUAUAGCUUAACUAUAGUACGCACUUGAAACUGUAUGGCUUGAGUUAAGGAGAGGAAAGUGGAAUUCCUAGUGUAGCGGUGAAAUGCGUAGAUAUUAGGAGGAAGACCAGUGGCGAAGGCGACUUUCUGGACUGAUACUGACGCUGAGGUACGAAAGCGUGGGGAGCAAACAGG